rnacentral:tRNA from 1 species
AUAGCUCAGUGGUAGAGUGUGUGCCUAGCAUGCAUGAGGUCCUGGGUUCAAUCCCCUAU